CAGCAGCCGCGGUAAUACGGAGGGAGCUAGCGUUGUUCGGAAUUACUGGGCGUAAAGCGCGCGUAGGCGGUUACUCAAGUCAGAGGUGAAAGCCCGGGGCUCAACCCCGGAACUGCCUCUGAAACUAGGUGACUAGAAUCUUGGAGAGGUCAGUGGAAUUCCGAGUGUAGAGGUGAAAUACGUAGAUAUUCGGAAGAACACCAGUGGCGAAGGCGACUGACUGGACAAGUAUUGACGCUGAGGUGCGAAAGCGUGGGGAGCAAACAGGAUUAGAUACCCCUGUAGUCCCUGUCUCUUAUAC
rnacentral:rRNA from 1 species